GAGAGAGAGAGAGAGAGAGAGAGGUAACCCGCAUGACCCGAGGUAACUGAAUCCCCCUCUUCACCUAUUCACCUAUUUCCCUGGAGAGAGAGAGAGAGAGAGAGAGAGAGAGAGAGAGAGAGAGAGAGAGAGAGAGAGAGAGAUGGACGUUGGCUGUAAGGGCUUCAAUGACAGACUGACCACACUGGGUUCGACUGCCGGCAAGCGAUUAGCGGCGAUUCUGAACCCGCUAAGCCCCGGUUCGAGAUAGGCUUCGUUCGUAAUUGAAAGCGAGAGAGAGAGAGAGAGAGAGAGAGAGAGAGAGAGAGAGAGAGAGAGAGAGAUGGGGGUGGAGAGCAGUACUAACUAAACAUAUGGGAGGAUAAGGAUAGGAGAUGAGUGGAGGAGGAGGAGGAGGAGGACGACGACACAAGGAAUGAGGAGAAGGAAGAAAGGAAGAGAAAUGAGUGUUAGGAAAUAGAGAUGAAGGAAGAAGGAAGGAAGGAAAGGAAAGAAGGAUAAGCAGGAAGAUGAAAGGAUAAAGGAAGAAAGGGAAAGGAACAAUUUAUGAAAAAAGGAGAAAAAAUAUAUAAAAAAAAAACGAUAUCAUGAAAGGAGAGACGAAGGAAGAAACAAGGAAAAUAAGCAAUAAAUCAAAAUAAUUAAAUGGAAAUUAAUGAUAUAAAAAAAAGUAGAUGAAAAUUGAACAACGAAUCCAAUAUAAAAGAAUAACGAACAGAAAGAGAAAUUUACAUAGAGAGAUAAAGAGGAAACUGGAGGAGAUAAGUUAAUGAGAGAAGAGGAGGAGGAGGAGGAGGAGGAGGGAAAAGAAAGGAAGGAAAGAAGAUUAGACAAAAAUGACGGAAACAGGAUAAGGAUGAGAGCAAAAAUGAAGAAGAGUGGGAGGAGGAGGAGGAGGAGAAGGCAGCUGGUGACCCCAAAGGAAGGGAAGAAGAGGGAGAGGAGGAGGAAGAGGAGAGUGUGUGGGCCCUUGUGGGAAGUGGUGAUGGUGAUGGUGAUGAUGAUGAUGAGGAUGGUGGGUUGGCUUAGGUUAGGUUAGUAUGAUGAUAGUGAUGAUGAUGAUGAUGGCAGUAGAAGAAAAAGGAAGAAGUUGAAGAAGGAGAAAGAAAUAGAGGAGAUUGAUGAUAGUGAUGAUGAUGAUGACAGCAGUAGAAAUAGAAAAAGAAGCAAGAAAAGGAAAAGAAAGAAGUUGAAGGAGAAAGAAAUAGAGGAGAUUGAUGAUAGUGAUGAUGACGAUGACGGCAGUAGAAAAAGAAGAAGUAAGAGAAGAAGAAAGAAGUUGAAGAAGGAGAAAGAAAUAGAGGAGAUUGAUGAUAGUGAUGAUGAUGAUGAUGAUGACAGCAGUAGAAAUAGAAAAAGAAGUUAGAGAAGAAAAAGAAAGAAGUUGAAGAAGGAGAAAGAAACAGAGGAGAUUGAUGAUAGUGAUGAUGAUGAUGACGGCAGUAGAAAUAGAAGAAUUAAGAGAAGAAAAGGGAAGAAGUUGAAGAAGGAGAAAGAAAUAGAAGUUAAGGGAAGACAAGAGACAGAAGACAAUAAUCAACAAGAAAACAACAACAACAAAACACUACCACCCAUACCACAGUGAAGAAGGGGAAGAAGAAAUAAGAAGUAGAAGGGAAGUUAAGGGCAGACAAGAUACAGAAGACAAUAAUUAACAAGAAAACAACAACAACAACAACAACAACACUACCCAUACCGCAGUGAAGAAGAGGAGGGAGAUAUUAGCGUCAGUAAUGGUGUGUGUGUGUGUGUGUGUGUGUGUGUAGCUAAAUAUAGUGAAAGUAAGGAGGGGAGAGAAAGGGGAGAGGGGGAGAAAGAAAAGAGGGGAGGAGGGAGGGGGAGAACACUAACAUCAGAACACACUCGCAGACAAUAUCGCUAACUUUAUUUUUAUCUUCCUUUUAUUUUAUUUUCCUUAUCAUAGGGGUCCGAGGGGAGAUAGAGGGAGAGAGGGGGAAGGGGGGAGCAAAGGAGGGAGGGAGAGAGAGGGGAGAGUUGACUUAUUUUUCUCUUUCCUUAUCAUUGAGGUAUAUAAGAGGCAAAAGAGAGAGGGAGGGAGAGAGAGCGGGAGGAAAAAGUGAAGAAAAGUAAAGGGAGAGAGAAAGAGAAAAGGAGGAAGGGAGAGCAGGGAAAGAGAGAGAAAAGGAGAGGUAGAGAGAGGAGGAGGAAAAAAGUGCAGAAAAGUAGAGGGAGGGAGAAAAGGAAGGAGGUAAAGGGAGAGAGAGAAAGAGAAAAGGAGGAAGGGAGAGUGGUGAAAGAGAGAGAAAAGGAGAGGGGGAGGGAGAGGGAGAGAGAGAGAGUUGGAGAGACGUGGAGGUCUUUUUUUUAUCUUUUAUCUAAUCUGCCGUACCCUCCGCCUGGCCCAUGUGAGGACGAGGUCAGGACGAAGAGGAGGAGGAGGAGGAGAAAAGGGAAAGAUACUGAGCAGCGCCUCGGAGGAAAGACUCACAAGAUUCAGAGACCAUUGGAUUGUGUUAUUUAUAUUUUUUUUUCCUCCCGACACGUGGAAAGGGAUGGCGGGAAAGGGGAGAGAGAGAGAGAGAGAGAGAGAGAGAGAGAGAGAGAGAGAGAGAGAGAGAGAGAGAGAGAGAGAAAGGAAAUGGCAUAGAUAGACGAAAGUUGGUGGGUAAAGGAAAGUAACGGAGAGGAAAUGAGAGACACGUAAUUUAGGUGAGUGUGAAAAAAUAGGAAAAUAAAGUAGAGAAGAAGGAAAAGGAGGAAAAAAGUAGAAGCAAUAAAAGAAAACGAAGGGGAUGGAAAUGGGAGAAAGAAGUAGAUAAGUGUGAAGAGGAAAGGAAAAGAAAGUAUGAAGGAGAAGGAGAAGGAAGAAAGUAGAAAAAAAAGACGAAAAGGUAAAGAAAAGUAAGGAAGAGGAAAUGGGAGAAAGUAGAUAACUGUGAAGAGAAUAGGAAAAUAAAAAGUAGAGAAGAAGGAAAAGGAGGAAGAAAAUAGAAGAAGAAAAAGACGAAGUUAAGAAAAGUAAGGAAAGAAUAAAGGAGGAGGAGGAAAAAAGUAGAAAAAGGAAGAAGACGAAGAAGUAAAGUAAGGAAGAGGAAAUGGGAGAAAGGAGUAGAUAAGGAAAAGAAA